ACUGGAAAACGAUCAUCUCUCACCCUGAAGGGUUAAAGACGCCUCACGCAGGAGAUUUAUCAUAACAAUCAUUUAAAUACUCAUAUUUAGCUUGUCUGGGUGUUUCCCCUUUUCCUUCAAUGUGUCACGGCUGUUUUUUUGCACAUUCAAAAGUUCCACUGAGUGAUAAAAGCUGAAGUCUGCAGCAAAGAGAGGCUCUGUUCAUGUGCCUGACUGGUUUGUUCCAUAAAGCAUCAGAGAGCCACAUUUAAUUCAAGCGUCUAACGGCCUGUUUGACUCAUAUCGAUACAGAACCAUCGUUAACAGCUGAUCGAGCAGCGUCUCACUGGAAUCUUCAGUCUUCAGUGGAAACGAUGUUCAAUCUCAUGUUUUGCUGAAGUGCCUUGUGGUUUAGAGUUAGUCUAUUAUAUGUAGACUCCGCCCACGUAGCUGACGACUACAGGACGUACGCAUGUAGAUAAAAUUCUUUAGUCCCUAAAAUCAAAACCACAUCAGAUGAAACUAUGGAACAAACACGUGAAGCCGGGUUCGGAUCCUCAGGUGUGAAAACGUCCUCGGUGACUUUCAGUGUAAAACAACAGGGCUAAUUUAAGAGAUGUGGUUUUGUUCUGUAAUCACUUAUAAUGAACCCGCUCUUCAUCUCCUCAGUGUCUUCCUGAAACAUCGUUUUAAUUCCUGAAUAAGCACCUGGAGACACGAGGUUCUCUCUCUCUGUGAUUAAUCAGGGUUUUGAAGAAGCUCUCGUCUUGAACAGUGCGUCACCGACAGCUCGACAGCUGAGGCAGGAUCUGAGCUCAGAUCAGCCGGCUGACAACAUGUGCUCACAUCAUCACAUUGCACAACGAGCUAAAGACCACUUGUGUGAAUUAUCGGCCGUCAUCUGUUCCUCAAACCUAUAUUUAGAGAAGGGGUUUCGCUGACAGCGGCUGAACACCUGAUGCCAGGAACAGGCCACACAGUCAUUUUGAGUUUGAAGAUGGUCACUGCAUCAGAUUUGGUGAUGUCAGAGGCUGUGGACCAAUCAGGGCUUGUGAUUCAGGAGAUCAGAGAGACAACAACACGUCAGCCUCAUGUCCUUUUCACUGUUUACAGCUUGUGAAUAAUCACUGUGCUGAAUAUCCUGAGCCGUGUGUGUGUGUCACGAGGCAUCACGAGUUCUUUUGGCCUCACAUUAUGUUUUCUUAUUGUGGAAAUGAUGAAAUUCUCCUUGUUUCUGAUGGUUUCUCAGGAUCCGAUUGGCCCAAUGUUUUCUUUUUUCAAGAGGUGACAACACAAUCAUCCUCACUGCUCCACUUUAUUUUAUCUCCUACCGCAACAAACUUAUAACAAAACACAUCAGACUCUGUGUGAGGAUAUUUAUUGGAUGAUAGAAAACACAGACCUGAUGUACAAAGACCUUUCGUGGCAUCCACCAGAAGCAGUGUGGGUUUUGUUUGCUUCAGUUCUUCUGCACGAGGAACGAGACGUAUUCACCUGUGUGUCUGCUGCACUGGUUGAACUGGGAUCUGCUGGGAGCUGCACCUGAGCUGUGCUGCAGCCGGGCUCGGACACACCCGUCCGUGCCAGUGCUGGAAGACCAUCUCAAACAAAACCACACCAAGGGCAAUUUGGCAGAGGAGCAAUCUGAGUGCAAAGGCUGUAGAUAGGAGAACAGUGGCGUGGUGAUCUCUGCUCUGACUUACAAUCGUGUGAGUGCACACCCAGAGCCAGGGAGCAGCCGAGAGCUAAAGGGCGGCGACGUGCUGAGGUGCAGCUUGUUCUGACGCCGCCUCACACUCCUGGUAAGUGCUGCAUCAGGAGUCGGGAACAUCUUGUUUUGAAAUGUUGCUCUGCGGCAGAUUCCUGCAUUGGACUGAAAUAACUUUAAAAAAGGUACGUGUCUGGACAUGCUGUUCCCGUCGUAAGGGCUGGACGUCAUCCAACGUGACGGGGCUCCACAAUAACAGGGAGGUGGAAGGAGGUGGAAGGAGGUGGAAGGAGGUGUGUUAUGUCCAGACUGAUGACAUAACACAGCUACGUGCAGCAGCAGCAUCUUCAUAUAGAACAGACAAACAACAUAAAUCCUCCCCGGCCUCUGUAGAGAAGUAUCUGUCGACUCAUUCUUCCGGAUGUCACUGGACUGGUCAUACUGGGCGAGGGACUGGUUACUCACUGCUAUUCAGUUCUUGAGGACAUUGUGUCCAAGAUGAAAAGAUGUUUGAUCCGCUGAUGAAACAAUGACACACCCACAAGGCUCUGGUUGAGUCGAAAGACGCUGUGCUUUUAUUUUGACGGUUGCUGGGUGUCACUAUGACUCUCCAGUGACUGUGUAACUUCUUUCAAUCACGUCUGUAAAGUUGGAUUUGAUUAUUUUUCUAUGUAACUUCCGCCUCCUGGAGUUUCCUGAACAUUUUGAUAUCUUUGCACAACUUGGACUUGAUCCAAGAACUUUUUUCCGUUGAACUGGUUGUUAAUUUUUGCUUAAUUAUUAGCCAGCCUCUUUUAUUGUUUAAUUUUCAGUUCAAUCCACGCUCUCUCUCUCUUUCCUUCUUUAUCUUUAUCAGCAUGUUUUAUCUCCCCUGGAAUUUACUAUGAAAAAGUACCUUUCGCUUGAUUUACUAUAAACAAGUCAUUUAAUUUACAAAUAGGAGAAUGUCGUCACCACUACGGGACUUUCAGAGUUUUUAUUUUCACUUUCUGUUGUCAGGUAAUUAAUAUUUUGUAAAAUGGAGGGAACUAAAGAAACAGAAAUCCCAUAAGAACAAUUUGUUUCAUGUUAAUGAGCUACUUAUUAUUAUUAAACUUCUUUUUUUUAAAUCAUCUCUCAUAAACAUACUUUUACCGAUUGUCUUUUUCAUGUCUUUUGGUUCAGCAAAUAUUCAUUUUGAUCCUUUUCUUUGUUUUAUCUGCCGUCUUUGAUUCUAGAAUGUGUAUUAAAUACUUUUUGGUUUUAAUCAGUCUUCUCUGUGAAGCAUUUUUUAACAUCUGUUUUGACAGGUAAUAUCAAUAAGGUUAUGAUUACUAUGACUAUUAUGAGGAUGCAGAGUUCUCCUGAAGAGAAACUGAACACUUGCACAUUAGAACAUUUGAAAAUGUGUACAUUUGCCCUAGACUUAUUUUUUUUCUACUGCAUUAUCACACCUAUCCCACCUAUAGUUUAUUAGAGUUAGUGUACUUCCUAUUUAUUUACAUAUUCCACUAUGCACAAUAUUCUGCACUUUUACUGCCUUUUUUUGCACUUCUGGUUAGAUUCUAAACUACAUUUAGUUGUAUAUGUACUUGUACUGUGCAAUGAGAAUAAAGUUGAAUCAAAUCUAA